GACGAACGCUGGCGGCGUGCCUAAUACAUGCAAGUAGAACGCUGAAGAGAGGAGCUUGCUCUUCUUGGAUGAGUUGCGAACGGGUGAGUAACGCGUAGGUAACCUGCCUUGUAGCGGGGGAUAACUAUUGGAAACGAUAGCUAAUACCGCAUAACAAUAGGUGACACAUGUCAUUUAUUUGAAAGGGGCAAUUGCUCCACUACAAGAUGGACCUGCGUUGUAUUAGCUAGUAGGUGAGGUAACGGCUCACCUAGGCGACGAUACAUAGCCGACCUGAGAGGGUGAUCGGCCACACUGGGACUGAGACACGGCCCAGACUCCUACGGGAGGCAGCAGUAGGGAAUCUUCGGCAAUGGGGGCAACCCUGACCGAGCAACGCCGCGUGAGUGAAGAAGGUUUUCGGAUCGUAAAGCUCUGUUGUAAGUCAAGAACGAGUGUGAGAGUGGAAAGUUCACACUGUGACGGUAGCUUACCAGAAAGGGACGGCUAACUACGUGCCAGCAGCCGCGGUAAUACGUAGGUCCCGAGCGUUGUCCGGAUUUAUUGGGCGUAAAGCGAGCGCAGGCGGUUUGAUAAGUCUGAAGUUAAGGCUGUGGCUCAACCAUAGUUCGCUUUGGAAACUGUCAAACUUGAGUGCAGAAGGGGAGAGUGGAAUUCCAUGUGUAGCGGUGAAAUGCGUAGAUAUAUGGAGGAACACCGGUGGCGAAAGCGGCUCUCUGGUCUGUAACUGACGCUGAGGCUCGAAAGCGUGGGGAGCGAACAGGAUUAGAUACCCUGGUAGUCCACGCCGUAAACGAUGAGUGCUAGGUGUUGGAUCCUUUCCGGGAUUCAGUGCCGCAGCUAACGCAUUAAGCACUCCGCCUGGGGAGUACGACCGCAAGGUUGAAACUCAAAGGAAUUGACGGGGGCCCGCACAAGCGGUGGAGCAUGUGGUUUAAUUCGAAGCAACGCGAAGAACCUUACCAGGUCUUGACGCCCCGAUGUUAUUUCUAGAGAUAGAAAGUUACUUCGGUACAUCGGUGACAGGUGGUGCAUGGUUGUCGUCAGCUCGUGUCGUGAGAUGUUGGGUUAAGUCCCGCAACGAGCGCAACCCCUAUUGUUAGUUGCCAUCAUUCAGUUGGGCACUCUAGCGAGACUGCCGGUAAUAAACCGGAGGAAGGUGGGGAUGACGUCAAAUCAUCAUGCCCCUUAUGACCUGGGCUACACACGUGCUACAAUGGUUGGUACAACGAGUUGCGAGUCGGUGACGGCAAGCUAAUCUCUUAAAGCCAAUCUCAGUUCGGAUUGUAGGCUGCAACUCGCCUACAUGAAGUCGGAAUCGCUAGUAAUCGCGGAUCAGCACGCCGCGGUGAAUACGUUCCCGGGCCU
rnacentral:rRNA from 1 species